rnacentral:rRNA from 1 species
CGUGUAGGCGGCUCAUCAAGUCUGGUGUGAAACGCAAGGCUUAACCUUGCGUAGGCGCUGGAAACUGGUGGGCUGGAGUUCUUGAGGGGAAGCUGGAAUUCCAGGUGUAGGGGUGAAAUCUGUAGAUAUCUGGAAGAACACCGGUGGCGAAGGCGAGCUUCUAUCAGAGGACUGACGCUGAGGCGCGAAAGCGUGGGGAGCAAACAGGAUUAGAUACCCUGGUAGUCCACGCUGUAAACGAUGUGCACUAGGCGUGGGGCACGUACGUGUUCUGUGCCGUAGUUAACGUGAUAAGUGCACCGCCUGGGGAGUAUGCUCGCAAGGGUGAA